UGCUUUUUGUUUAUCUGAACCAAAAUUUUCCCAUUUUGCUUAAAAGCCUUUCUUACUGAUAAUAGAGAUUUGCAUCUGAAGAGUAGCUGUGUCACUAUGGUAGGACAAGAAAAGUGGUCAUAGUUCUUCAACUAGGUGUUGGGUGUCAAGAAUAGGUACAGAGAAAAGUAGCACUAGUACUAUUUAGGAACAAAUGAGUCAUAACCCCUUCUCUACAGGAUUUCUGAGACAGCUGAGGAAAUACACGACAAGGAGGCCUCGGGUCAUGUGGGCCGUACGAGUGUGCAUCAAGUAGAUUCAGUCUACAGUUUGGGUGGAGAGAAUGGGAGCUGGUGCUGCUAGUGCUGGACCUCAGCUGACAGCCUGAGGAAAGAGGAAAACUUCUAUUGCAGUGUAUGUAGACAGAAAGGCCUCGCCCCACUUUUCCAGUUGCAAUUGUUGGAAUCGUCUUCUCAGUCAUCCUCCACCUCUGGGAUCAGCCAACACCUUAUUUGCAGCUUAGCUCCUACUGCUAUCAAACACAAGUUCCUAGAUUCAUCAGAAGUAUUCCACUGAGGUUCUGAGAUUCCUGAGAAUUACUCCGCCUUCAACCUCCCAGUCAACAUUCACCUGUGUACCUCCGAAACCUACCUCUCCUGGGCUUCUAUUUCAACUGUCAGAAUGUGGCUCAGCAGGGCCUGGGCCACUUUCUCUACAAACGGGCACCAGGCUUCUCUUGAAGAUGCAAAACCAGUGCCCUCUUCCAGGAGGCGCAGAAGCUGCCCCAAGGUCAGUAGGGUAAAACCCUGGGCACCACGGUUCUAGACCUGAAUGUGAAAGCCACGGGAUCACCCAUGCAGACCCCCAGUGUCUGAGACUUUCUAGAGAACCAUCUCCUAGAAGAGGAGGGGAAGCUCAAGAGGAUGGCGGCCAGCUGACUUACCCACACUAGGCUGGGUGAGGAUCUCUUUAAAAGGCUCACCCCUCAAGCGAAACUAAGAGUCUACACAGCCCAGCAGCCUCUGAAGGGGCCCCUCUGGUACCCGCUUGGUGUCUGGGGUUCUGCUGGAGCCCCCCCCCCUGCAGUCACGAGGCUACUUUCAACCACCCAGGAGCUCCACCUAUGCCAUGCCCCAAAUGGAAACAGUAAUGCUUUUCGCAGCAAAAAUAAAAAACAAAAAACCUCAAACUCAAACCCAUUAAACCAUGACAUGCCAUUCCCUCCUCCCACCAGCCCCUGUUAGCCAUCAUCCUACUUUCUGUCUUUACAAAUCUGACUAUGCUUAAGUACCUUAUAUAAAUGGUAUAUAAAUGGAAUCAUAGAGUAUUUGUCUUUUUGUGACUAGCUUAUUUCACUUAGCAUAACAUCAUCAGGGUUUAUCUGUUCUGUAGCAUGUCUCAGAAUUUCUUUUCUUUUUAAGGCUGAAAAAGUACUCCACUGCAUGUAUAUACCAAUUUUAUUUAUUUAUCAAUAGGCAUAUGGGUUGCUUUUAACUCUUAGCUAUUGUGAAUGUGACACUAUGAACAUAAGUGUGCAAAUAUUUCUA